GUCGUAACAAGGUUUCCGUAGGUGAACCUGCGGAAGGAUCAUUAUUGAAUAAACAUGGGAUAAGGUUGUUGCUGGCUCUUAGGGGUAUGUGCACGCCUAUUCCAUUUUAUUUAACCACCUGUGCACUCUUUGUAGAUCUGAAACACUUUCGAGUACCACUCGGUCAAAGGAAUUGCUGUGUAUAUGCCGGCUUUUCCUUAUUCUAUUUCAGGUCUAUGUUCUAUAUACUCCAUAUAACGUUUGAGAUUGCAAUUGUUAGGCAUAUUGUGCCUUAUAAAUAAUUAUACAACUUUCAACAACGGAUCUCUUGGCUCUCGCAUCGAUGAAGAACGCAGCGAAAUGCGAUAAGUAAUGUGAAUUGCAGAAUUCAGUGAAUCAUCGAAUCUUUGAACGCACCUUGCGCUCCUUGGUAUUCCGAGGAGCAUGCCUGUUUGAGUGUCGUGAAAUUCUCAACCUUUCAAGCUUUGAUUAAGAAGCUUUUGAACGGCUUGGAUUUGGGAGUUUGCUGGUUCUAGCGAAUCAGCUCUCCUUAAAUAUAUUAGCAAGAUAAUCGCUGAAUCAUCUUUGAUAUGAUAAUUAUCUAUAUCAUCCAUGAAAACAGUACCUUCCCUUCAGGGAAGGAUCUGGCUUCUAACAGUCUCUCGAGACAAU
rnacentral:rRNA from 1 species